rnacentral:rRNA from 1 species
AACGAACGCUGGCGGCAUGCCUAACACAUGCAAGUCGAACGAGACCUUCGGGUCUAGUGGCGCACGGGUGCGUAACGCGUGGGAACCUGCCCUUAGGUUCGGAAUAACUCCCCGAAUGGGGUGCUAAUACCGGAUAAUGUCUUCGGACCAAAGAUUUAUCGCCUUGGGAUGGGCCCGCGUUGGAUUAGCUAGUUGGUAGGGUAAAAGCAUACCAAGGCGACGAUCCAUAGCUGGUCUGAGAGGAUGAUCAGCCACACUGGGACUGAGACACGGCCCAGACUCCUACGGGAGGCGGCAGUGGGGAAUAGUGGACAAUGGGCGAAAGCCUGAUCCAGCAAUGCCGCGUGAGUGAUGAAGGCCUUAGGGUUGUAAAGCUCUUUUACCCGGGAUGAUAAUGACAGUACCGGGAGAAUAAGCUCCGGCUAACUCCGUG